AGUCUUCCAUAGCAGUACAGCUGGUAAGUCAGUGCGUGAUUGCGACCUGACUUAGUGCUAGCUGCGCAAGCGGGGGGGGUCCAACUACACUAAAGGGGGGUCCAACUACUCGCGAGCGCUUGGACCCCCGGUCCAAAUAGAAGGGGGGUCCAACCACCCUCCAACACCGGGCUGCCCCGGACUGGGGCUUCACCUAUUUUCAUGGAAUAAGGACUGAUAUGGAGCUAGUAAGGACAUAGAACAAACUACUGAGGAAGCCAUGAAUCCCCCUUGACUAAUGCUGGGAACAAGGCCGCUCUACUAGUCCCAUCUUUCUCAGUUCUAAGUCCACUUUAACUCUCUCAUUUUUAUUUCUGAAUUUAUUUGCUGUCAUUGUUAUCUUAAUUCUCAUUUUCCUUGAUUGUUGAUUUAUUUUUAUUUAUUUAUAUUUAUUACUAUUAUUUUUACUGUUGAUCAUUAUUCAUUUCCACUUUUCUUUUUGUUUUCCAGGGGCCUAGCAGUUCAGUCUUGCUGGGAUGUCUGUACUGUAUUAUCAAACUUACUCAGUUUGGUUUAUUGUAAAUAAAUUAUAUUACCUUUGAGAUGCAUUUCAAUG